GCUUGGGGGGAAGCGUUACCAUGCAAGUCGAGCGGUAACAGGGGGUGCUUGCACCCCGCUGACGAGCGGCGGACGGGAGAGUAAUGCAUAGGAAACUGCCCAGUAGUGGGGGAUAGCCCGGGGAAACCCGGAUUAAUACCGCGUACGCCCUUCGGGGGAAAGCAGGGGAUCUUCGGACCUUGCGCUAUUGGAUGUGCCUAUGUCGGAUUAGCUAGUUGGUGGGGUAAAGGCCUACCAAGGCGACGAUCCGUAGCUGGUCUGAGAGGAUGAUCAGCCACAUCGGGACUGAGACACGGCCCGAACUCCUACGGGAGGCAGCAGUGGGGAAUAUUGGACAAUGGGGGCAACCCUGAUCCAGCCAUGCCGCGUGUGUGAAGAAGGCUUUCGGGUUGUAAAGCACUUUCAGUGAGGAGGAAAACUCUGCGACUAAUACUCGUAGGGCUUGACGUUACUCACAGAAGAAGCACCGGCUAACUCCGUGCCAGCAGCCGCGGUAAUACGGAGGGUGCAAGCGUUAAUCGGAAUUACUGGGCGUAAAGCGCGCGUAGGUGGUUUGAUAAGCGAGAUGUGAAAGCCCCGGGCUUAACCUGGGAACGGCAUUUCGAAC
rnacentral:rRNA from 1 species